UCGGGAACUGUGAGACAGGUGCUGCAUGGCUGUCGUCAGCUCGUGUUGUGAAAUGUUGGGUUAAGUCCCGCAACGAGCGCAACCCUUAUCCUUUGUUGCCAGCGAUUAGGUCGGGAACUCAAAGGAGACUGCCAGUGAUAAACUGGAGGAAGGUGGGGAUGACGUCAAGUCAUCAUGGCCCUUACGACCAGGGCUACACACGUGCUACAAUGGCGCAUACAAAGAGAAGCGACCUCGCGAGAGCAAGCGGACCUCAUAAAGUGCGUCGUAGUCCGGAUUGGAGUCUGCAACUCGACUCCAUGAAGUCGGAAUCGCUAGUAAUCGUGGAUCAGAAUGCCACGGUGAAUACGUUCCCGGGCCUUGUACACACCGCCCGUCACACCAUGGGAGUGGGUUGCAAAAGAAGUAGGUAGCUUAACCUUCGGGAGGGCGCUUACCACUUUGUGAUUCAUGACUGGGGUGAAGUCGUAACAAGGUAACCGUAGGGGAACCUGCGGUUGGAUCACCUCCUUACCUUAAAGAA
rnacentral:rRNA from 2 species